rnacentral:rRNA from 1 species
CGUUUCAGGUGGUGGUGCAUGGCCGUUCUUAGUUCGUGGGGUGACUUGUCUGCUUAAUUGCGAUAACGAGCGAGACCUUACUCUGCUAAAUAGCAGAGGCUAGCUUUGGCUGGUCGCCGGCUUCUUAGAGAGACUAUCAACUCAAGUUGAUGGAAGUUUGAGGCAAUAACAGGUCUGUGAUGCCCUUAGAUGUUCUGGGCCGCACGCGCGCUACACUGACAGAGCCAACGAGUUCUUUUCCUUGUUCGAAAGAAUUGGGUAAUCUUGUUAAACUCUGUCGUGCUGGGGAUAAAGCAUUGCAAUUAUUGCUUUUCAACGAGGAAUGCCUAGUAAGCGCGUGUCAUCAGCAUGCGUUGAUUACGUCCCUGACCUUUGUACACACCGCCCGUCGCUACUACCGAUUGAAUGGCUCAGUGAGGCCUUCGGACUGGCUCGAGGAGGUUGGCAACGACCACCUCAAGCCGGAAAGUUGGUCAAACUCGGUCAUUUAGAGGAAGUAAAAGUCGUAACAAGGUCUCCGUAGGUGAACCUGCGGAGGGAUCAUUACACAAAUAUGAAGGCGGGCUG